rnacentral:rRNA from 1 species
AGCGUUGUUCGGAAUUACUGGGCGUAAAGGGCUCGUAGGCGGCCAACUAAGUCGGAUGUGAAAUCCCCAGGCUCAACCUGGGAACUGCAUCCGAUACUGGAGGGCUUGAAUCCGGGAGAGGGAUGCAGAAUUCCAGGUGUAGCGGUGAAAUGCGUAGAUAUCUGGAGGAAUACCGGUGGCGAAGGCGGCAUCCUGGACCGGCAUUGACGCUGAGGAGCGAAAGCUAGGGGAGCAAACGGG